UAGGCUUUGGAAGUCUUUGGCAAUGAUUCAUCACUUAAAAUGGUACCAGGCCAUAUAAUCAACCAUGAGGGAUUUUCCUGUGGAAAGAGUAAUUUUAAGAGAGAAGAGGCCAUGGGAGGACAGAGAGAAGAUGGUCAUUUACACGGUAGAAAGAGAAGUCUCAUUAG
rnacentral:lncRNA from 1 species